ensembl:lncRNA
AGAUUCCUCCUUGAUGAAGCUUUCCCCUGUGAACCUGGAAUCUUCUGAUACGGUGAUUUUUUGGAUCUCUUUCCAAAAAGGCAGCAGGAACCUCUGUGUAACGUGGACUGUUUUACUGACAAGGAGAAUAGGGCGUCUUUCAAUACAAGGAUCUUCGUGAUGCCAGCAGAGGAAUACUCUUAGUGUUACUGUACCUAUUAUAUGAGCUGUUGACUCCAGAGCCAUCUUAAUGCUUUGUUUCAUAUUUCACUGAAGGACAAUUUCUGUUCACUUGAGGAAAGAAAAUGCCAUGCCUUGCUUCAAGCUGAUUAAAACUUCAAAACAGGGAAGGUGUCUGCCCAGGUAUAGCUGCUGCAUCCCCCUUGUGAUGGGACCUGAGCAUUCUUCCAGCACAGCAUGGAACUUGAGCAGGCCUGGAGCACCAGGCAUGUUUCUGUGAAGCUGUUUGGGUGAAAAUUGUGCUCUUUGUGGUCCAGAGUUUUCUGCUCUUCUGUCCCUAUCAGGGAUGGCCUGAGCAGGUCUCUGUACCCACGCCAUUUGUCACCUUGGGUGCUGGGCAGAGUAGUAAAGCAGGCAGAGUGCAAGGAAGAGGGAUGAAGCCAAAGAAGAGGCACCAACUCAGUCUGCGUGCAGAGUAUGUGAUGUGGUUCAAUGUGAGUUCAAGAUGUCAAAGCCAGCGAGCUGCUUGUCUCUGCAUGGAAUGGCUCUCCAUCUGGGAAGAACGUCCCUGAAUUUGGGAAGUGAGCUAAGCCCAGAUUCUCAAAUGCUGGGAUGACAGCACAGCUCUGGGACACACGGCCAGCACAGCAGCCUG